rnacentral:snRNA from 1 species
UAGUGCUGGUAUGAUCGCAUC